GCCGUGUCCUCACCGAGGGGGGAGGCUGUCCUGCAGCAGCUCAGCCCCGGCUCCUGGCCGAGCUCGCUGGGCGCUGUCUUUGGUGCCUCCCUCACGGCCUCAGGGACCCUUUGCCACAGAGGAGUGCCACUCACCCUCGCCUGACAUUACCAAGUGGAGUGUCACCCUGGCCUCACCUCCCAAGGGAUUGGACCAUGAUGAGACCUUGCAGAGAUGCCGAAGUUCACCAACUCCCACUGUGCUUUCCCCUCUGGGCAUUGAAUAAUCCACAUUUUCCCGUCUCCUUUGUACCUCAGCGGGGCCAUGUGACUGGCCUUGCCCAGCAGCGUGGGUAGAAGAGAUCUAUGACAUUUCCAGGCCUGGACAUUCAUACCAUGAAAUCCUCUGCAGUGUGAACUUUCAGGCCUUCCACAUCUCAUGGCUGCACAUUCCAGGCUGACUUUGAAGACAGACAGUGGUGAAGACACAAUAUAAAGCAAACGGGGUCUUUGAGUGGCCCUUUUCCAGCAGAGCUUCAUGACCAGGGACACCACCAGUAGAUUUUAUGAAACAGAAAAUAAAACGGUUUAUUGAUUUAUU
rnacentral:lncRNA from 1 species